rnacentral:rRNA from 1 species
UGCAGAAUCCCGUGAAUCAUCGAGUUUUUGAACGCAAGUUGCGCCCGAUGCCAUUCGGCAGAGGGCACGCCUGCCUGGGCGUCAGGUCUUGCGUCGCUCGGUGCCAACUACGCCCGUGGGUCGAAAGUGUUGGCACGGAUGCGGAGAUUGGCCUCCUGUGCCCUUGUGCGCGCGGUGGGUUGAAGAGUGGGAUGCCAAUGGAGACGGACACGACGAGUGGUGGAUGCGAGCCGGACGUCGUCGUCUCGUCCUCUAAAGGCUCGGGGGCCCCUUGUGACACCCAGUAGGGUUGCGCUGUAAGCGUUGCCUAGCAUUGCGACCCCAGGUCAGGCGGGAACACCCGCUGAAUUUAAGCAUAUCAAUAAGCGGAGGAGAAGAAACUUACGAGGAUUCCCUUAGUAACGGCGAGCGAACCGGGACAAGCCCACCUUGGGAAUCGGGCGGCUCUGUCGUUCGA